rnacentral:rRNA from 1 species
GAGUUUGAUCCUGGCUCAGGAUGAACGCUGGCGGCGUGCUUAACACAUGCAAGUCGAACGAACGACUAUUAACAGAACCUUUCGGGGCGAAGAUGAUAGAAGUUAGUGGCGGACGGGUGCGUAACGCGUGGGUAAUCUGCCUUUGUCAAAGGAAUAACUAUUCGAAAGAAUAGCUAAAACCGUAUAAAAUAUUAAUAGGGCAUCCUAAUAAUAUCAAAACGAUAGUGGACAAAGAUGAGCCCGCGUCUGAUUAGCUUGUUGGUGAGAUAAAAGCCCACCAAGGCAACGAUCAGUAGCCGACCUGAGAGGGUGAACGGCCACAUUGGAACUGAGACACGGUCCAAACUCCUACGGGAGGCAGCAGUGGGGAAUAUUGCACAAUGGGGGGAACCCUGAUGCAGCAACGCCGCGUGAGUGAAGAAGGCAUUCGUGUCGUAAAACUCUGUAGU